rnacentral:rRNA from 1 species
CCUACGGGAGGCAGCAGUGGGGAAUAUUGCACAAUGGGGGAAACCCUGAUGCAGCGACGCCGCGUGAGUGAAGAAGUAAUUCGUUAUGUAAAGCUCUAUCAGCAGGGAAGAAAAUGACGGUACCUGAGUAAGAAGCCCCGGCUAACUACGUGCCAGCAGCCGAGGUACUACGUAGGGGGCAAGCGUUAUCCGGAUUUACUGGGGGUAAAGGGAGCGUAGACGGCCAUGCAAGUCUGGAGUGAAAGGUGGGGGCGCAACCCCCGGACUGCUGUGGAAACUGUACGGCUGGAGUGCAGGAGAGGUAAGUGGAAUUCCUAGUGUAGCGGUGAAAUGCGUAGAUAUUAGGAGGAACACCAGUGGCGAAGGCGGCUUACUGGACUGUAACUGACGUUGAGGCUCGAAAGCGUGGUGAGCAAACAGGAUUAGAUACCCCUGUAGUC